GAUGAACGCUGGCGGCGUGCCUAAUACAUGCAAGUCGAGCGAACAGACGAGGAGCUUGCUCCUCUGACGUUAGCGGCGGACGGGUGAGUAACACGUGGAUAACCUACCUAUAAGACUGGGAUAACUUCGGGAAACCGGAGCUAAUACUGGAUAAUAUAUUGAACCGCAUGGUUCAAUAGUGAAAGACGGUUUUGCUGUCACUUAUAGCUGGAUCCGCGCCGCAUUAGCUAGUUGGUAAGGUAACGGCUUACCAAGGCAACGAUGCGUAGCCGACCUGAGAGGGUGAUCGGCCACACUGGAACUGAGACACGGUCCAGACUCCUACGGGAGGCAGCAGUAGGGAAUCUUCGGCAAUGGGCGAAAGCUUGACGGAGCAACGCCGCGUGAGUGAUGAAGGUCUUCGGAUCGUAAAACUCUGUUAUUAGGGAAGAACAAAUGUGUAAGUAACUAUGCACGUCUUGACGGUACCUAAUCAGAAAGCCACGGCUAACUACGUG
rnacentral:rRNA from 1 species